rnacentral:rRNA from 1 species
UACAGAGGUCCCAAGCGUUGUUCGGAUUCACUGGGCGUAAAGGGUGCGUAGGUGGCCAGGUAAGUUUGAUGUGAAAUCUCCGGGCUUAACCCGGAAAGUGCAUUGAAUACUAUCUGGCUAGAGGGUUGGAGGGGGGACUGGAAUUCUCGGUGUAGCAGUGAAAUGCGUAGAUAUCGAGAGGAACACCAGUGGCGAAGGCGAGUCCCUGGACAACUCCUGACACUGAGGCACGAAAGCUAGGGGAGCAAACAGG